rnacentral:lncRNA from 1 species
GAGGGAUUAACUGCAGCCCUGCUGGCUCUAGGGAGUGGGGGAAGGAAGAUGCAACUUCCUAGAGGGAAGCAAACAAGUUAUGUAUAAAGAAAACAGGCAAAAUGAGACGAAUGAGAAAGACAAAGAAAACAUAGAUCAAGCACUGAUCGCAGUGACGAGUUUUGCAGUGAUGAGUUUUGCUAUAAUUCUGGAUGUCAAACAAGUAUUGAUGAGAGAUUCUCUCAAUAAGAGCUGAUCAACACUUUCAU